GAUGAACGCUGGCGGCGUGCCUAAUACAUGCAAGUAGAACGCUGAAGGAGGAGCUUGCUCUUCUGGAUGAGUUGCGAACGGGUGAGUAACGCGUAGGUAACCUGCCUGGUAGCGGGGGAUAACUAUUGGAAACGAUAGCUAAUACCGCAUGACAACAGUUAUUGCAUGAUAACUGUUUAAAAGGGGCAACUGCUCCACUACCAGAUGGACCUGCGUUGUAUUAGCUAGUUGGUGAGGUAACGGCUCACCAAGGCGACGAUACAUAGCCGACCUGAGAGGGUGGUCGGCCACACUGGGACUGAGACACGGCCCAGACUCCUACGGGAGGCAGCAGUAGGGAAUCUUCGGCAAUGGACGGAAGUCUGACCGAGCAACGCCGCGUGAGUGAAGAAGGGUUUCGGAUCGUAAAGCUCUGUUGUAAGAGAAGAACGAGUGUGAGAGUGGAAAGUUCACACUGUGACGGUAUCUGACCAGAAAGGGACGGCUAACUACGUG
rnacentral:rRNA from 1 species